AACGAACGCUGGCGGCAUGCCUAACACAUGCAAGUCGAACGAGACCUUCGGGUCUAGUGGCGCACGGGUGCGUAACGCGUGGGAACCUGCCCUUAGGUUCGGAAUAACUCCCCGAAAGGGGUGCUAAUACCGGAUAAUGUCUUCGGACCAAAGAUUUAUCGCCUUUGGAUGGGCCCGCGUUGGUUUAGCUAGUUGGUAGUGUAAAAGCCUACCAAGGCGACGAUCCAUAGCUGGUCUGAGAGGAUGAUCAGCCACACUGGGACUGGGACACGGCCCAGACUCCUACGGGAGGCAGCAGUGGGGAAUAUUGGACAAUGGGCGAAAGCCUGAUCCAGCAAUGCCGCGUGAGUGAUGAAGGCCUUAGGGUUGUAAAGCUCUUUUACCCGGGAUGAUAAUGACAGUACCGGGAGAAUAAGCUCCGGCUAACUCCGUG
rnacentral:rRNA from 1 species